rnacentral:rRNA from 1 species
UCGCCUGUUUUUACAAAAACAUUUCUUAUAGGAUAUAAUUAUAAGUAAAACCUGCUCAAUGAAAUAUUUAAUAGCCGCAAUUUACUCUGUGCUAAGGUAGCAUAAUCAUUUGUUUUUUAAUUCAAAACUAGAAUGAAAGGUUUCACAUUUUAAUUACUAUAUUUGUUGUAUUGUAUAAAAUUAUAUUAAAUAUAAAAAUAUAUUUAUAAAAAAAUUAGACGACAAGACCCUAUUGAACUUAACUUAUGUUAAGCUGGGGCAGCUUUUAAAUUAUUAUUUUUAUUUAAAUUAAAUAAAUUUUCCAAUAACAUUGAAAUUUAAUCAAGUUACCAUAGGGAUAACAGCGUAAUUUUUAUAUAAAGCUCUUAUCUAAAUAAAAGUUUGCGACCUCGAUGUUGAAUUAAAUUUUCUUAUUCUUGCAACAAAGUAAUAAGAAGGUCUGUUCGACCUUUAAAAAUUUACAUGAUUUGAGUUCAAACCGGUGUAAGCCAGGUUGGUUUCUAUCUUUUAUAUUUAUUUUACAGUACGAAAGGACAAAAAAUAAUAUUAUUAAUAUUUAUUUGGCAGAAAAUUGCAUUAGAAUUAGAAUCUAAUUAU